UGCCAGCCGCCGCGGUAAUACGGAGGGUGCAAGCGUUGUUCGGAAUUAUUGGGCGUAAAGCGCGUGUAGGCGGUUCGUUAAGUCUGAUGUGAAAGCCCGGGGCUCAACUGUGGAGGGUAAUUUGAAACUGGCGAGCUUGAGUACGGGAGAGGAAAGUGGAAUUCCGAGUGUAGGGGUGAAAUCCGUAGAUAUUCGGAGGAACACCAGUGGCGAAGGCGGCUUUCUGGACCGAUACUGACGCUGAGACGCGAAAGCGUGGGGAGCAAACAGGAUUAGAUA
rnacentral:rRNA from 1 species